ACUCACUGCUCCUAGCAGUAGCAUAUGCUUGUCUCAAAGAUUAAGCCACGCGCGUGUCAGUUCACAUGGCUGGGACAGUGAAACUCUGAAUGGCUCAUCAAAUCAGUUUUGGUUCCUUUGAUCACUCCAUCUGUCACUCGGAUGACUGUUGUAUAUCUAGAGCUAGUACAUGCUGAGGUGUGCUGACCUCCUGGGAUGCAUGCAUCCAUCAGACCAAGACCAAUCCAGGCUAGCCCGGCUGCUUUGGUGACUUUAGAUGACCUGGGGCCAAUUGCACAUCCUAUGACGGUGACAAUACAUUUGAAUGUCUGAGUUAUUAAUGUUUGAUGGUACUUUCUGUGCCUACCAUCGUGAUCAUGGGUAACAGGGAAUCAGGGUUCGAUUAUGGAGCGGGAGCCUGAGAAACAGCUACCACAUCCAAGUAAGGCAGCAGGCACAGAAAUCACCCACUCCUGACUCAGAGAGGUAGUGAUGAAAAAUAACAAUACAGGACUCUUUCGAGGUUCAGUAAUUGGAAUGAGGGCACUUAAAAUCCUUUGCAGAGGAUCCAUUGGAGGGGAAGUCUGGUGCCAGCAUCUUCAUUCCAACUUCAAUAGCAUAUGUUAAAGUUGCUACAGUGAAAAUGCUCAUAGUGGAUUUUGGGAUCGAGCUGGCAGUAUGUCGUGAAGUGAGCUACUGAGUUUCCCAGCCCCUUCCUAUCUGCACCCCCUUGAUGCCAUGAUGUGAGUGUCCUGGGGGUCCAAAGCAUUUACUUUGAAAAUAAAGAGAGUGUUCAAAGCAGGCCGGUCACCUGAAUACAUCAGCUAGGUAUAAUAGAAUAGGACUCUGGUUCUAUUAAGUUGGUUUCCAGAACUGGGGGAAUGAUUUAGAAGGAUGGCCGUGGGCAUUUGUAUUUUGCCACUAGAGGUGAAAUUCUUGGACUAGCACAAGAUGAACCAAAGUUAAAGCAUUUACCAACCAUAUUUUAAUUAAUCAAUAAUGAAAGUUGGCGGUUCAAAGACAAUCAGAUACUGUGAUAGGUUGGACCAAGAACGAUGCCGACCAGCGAUCGGCUGCGUUGUUCCAAUUACCCGCUGAGCAGCUUCUGGGAAACCAAAGUCUUUGUGUUCUGGGAAGAGUCUAUUUGCAAAGCUGGAACUUAAAGGAACUGACAGAAGGGCAUCACCAGGAUAGGCUCUGUUGCCUUACUUUGACUCAACACAGGAAAUCUCACCUGGCCUGAACAUGAAAAGUAUUGGCAGAUGGAUAGCUCUUUCUCGAUUCUAUUGUGGUGGUGUUUGGCCUAUCUUAGUUGGUGGAGCAAUUUGUUUGUUUAAUUCUGAUAUGAAACAAUACUCAUCUAUUCUAACUGGUUACCUGACCCCCAGCGGUCAGCAUUCAAAUUCUUAGAGGGACAAUAGUUGUUCAGCUGCAUGAGAUCAAACAAUAAUAGGUCUGUUAUGCCAUUAGAUUUCUGGGGCUACACAUCCACUACGCGAAACAGAUCAUCAUGUGUCAACCAGCAGAUAUUAUGCUGAACCCUGUUCGUGAUAGUGAUUGGGGAAUGCAAAUAUUUACCAUGAACAAGGAAGAUCCAUUAAGUGCGGGUCAUAAGCUUGUGUUGAUUAGUCCCUGCCCUUUGUACACACCGCCCGUCGCACCUACCAAUUGGAUGGCUUAGUGAGGUCCUCCGAUCAGCCCUGCUGAGGUCAGCAAAAGCCCUGGUGAAGCGCCAAGAAGAUGAUCAAACUUUACUAUCUUGAGAAGUAAAGAGAGAGGUGAAGGUGAGGAGAGGUUGUGGAAC
rnacentral:rRNA from 1 species